UGACGGUUUCCCGCAUCGUUCGGUGCAUUCUGUGGUCAUUUUGGCUAUUAGCGGCUUGCUUGCCUUUUAAGGCUUGGUGGGUUGUUUAUAGUUUGGAUGUCUUCGGGGAUGUCUACCGUAAAGGUGCAUGAGUGGUGUUUGGUUUGUUACGGGUGGUUGGCUCUUUGCUUUUGCACGAACUUCCACCUGGCAUACCUCUUCAGUCUUGUGUCAAUGCUUGUAUUGCAUUGAAUGACGGGUUUCUUGUGUUGCAUGCCUAGUUAAUGGUAUCGUUUGAUGAAUUGGUUUCCUUUUUCGUCUUGCCUCGCCUACGCGAUGUGUGAUGAACCUUGAAGCAGCCUUUGUGAUCCACACUUUUUGAUGCAUACGCAUUGAUGUUGUGGCCCAUUAAGUGUUGCUUGGUCUCAUGGAUAUGGAACCUGGUGUGGGCAUGGAAUCUUAAUGGUUCUUUGUUUGCCCAAGUUAAGCUUUUCUGAAACGAUCGUCUAUCA
rnacentral:misc_RNA from 1 species